AAAGCCUGGCAGGUUUCUCCGGAAAAGUGGCCAUCCAUGGAAUGAAUGAAAUGUUCUCUUUCUAUCCCA
rfam:Oryctolagus cuniculus chromosome 14, whole genome shotgun sequence.